rnacentral:lncRNA from 1 species
UGAUUUCUUUUUAUUUAUUUCAAAUUUCAAAAUGACGAAAGAGGUCAUGUCUAAAUAUGUACUCUGAUUACGACUUUAAAGAGGUUCUGCAACUCAGACGUUAGCAGCGCCUACUGCAAGUAAUGCUUCUUCCACUUUUUCCCUAUUUUCCUAAAGUGGUUCAUGCCCCUUUGGCGUAGGUAUUCAGCCUGGCAUGAGGCAGAAUAUGAAUGAAGUUCUUACACG